GCAUGAUCACAUGAAAGCCUAAUGCACAAACCAAGCCAUGAAGUACUGCUGGCAAGCCGUGAACCAAAUGAAGUUGACCUGCUGUAGAACUGCAUGAACACACCCUUUGAUAUCCACAAACUGCAAUGCAUAACAACUGGAUUAGGCCUGCAGAAACGGCACAAUCUGCAGCAUGACAUGUACCAGCAGCAGUUCAUGCAUGUCC
rnacentral:lncRNA from 1 species